GGUUCUUUAGCUCAAUGGUAGAGCAAUUGACUGUUAAUCAAUAGGUUAUAGGUUCGAGCCCUAUAAGAACCG
rnacentral:tRNA from 1 species